UAUUUUUUUAUGUGUGUAAUACACUUGCUGCCACAUUAACUUUCACAUCAUUUUAAAUGCUACAUUAAAUUUCACAUCAUUUUUAAAAUACCAUAAAAUUAAAUUUAAAACAAUAAAAAAUUUAUAUUUAGAAUUAAAAAAUGAAGAAGUAAAAUUGGCAGCUUCUUCCUUUGCUUCUUCUUCUUCAUAUGAACAACACUCGUUCCACCCGAACCCAGGCCUUCCUUUAACUUUUCGCCCUCGGAAAUUGAAACAGGAAUUGUUACCUCCUGGUCAUCGCGAUCCAACUUCUCUAAUUCAUUAUCAUCGUGAUCAUUUCCACCGUGAUUCUUAAAGAACUCUUCUUGAGAAGCCCAAAGAGUCUCAUAAGCAACACAAAGACACUUCUUUUUCCCCGCACCAUCCUUAUUACAAUUACAAACCAUGGAUGCAUUCACAUCAUCUCCAUGCGACUUCUUCUUCUUCUUCGCAAUCACAAACUUCCACUGACGUAUCUUGUUUUUGGACGAAGGUGAAGCCAAUUGAUUCGUAUUAGCGUUGCUUGAAACUGACUUUUGCGUCUUUUUCGCCGAUUUCGUUAGUGAUUUACAAGAUUUUGAUAAAAAUGGACUUUUUUUGACAUUGGGAUUCAAGUUUUCGGAAUUCUUGGAGCAUUUCUUCGGCGUAAGUCUUGUGGAUUUGCAGUUCCAAUCCAUCAAAGUAGCCGGAGGUAGUAUAAUUGUCGCCGGAAAGUUGAUCGGAAUUAGGUGUAUUGGUGAUUGGUUAGGGUUUUCUAGUUAUUGAGGGAUUUUGAAAAAGAUUGUUUUUGUGUGUGUUGGUUGAAGACUAAAGUGUAGAGAAUUAGAGAAGGGGACGUCGUCAUUGUCGACGGCGGGUGUGGAGGUGUAGUGAUGGCCAUGGCGGGGGCACUGCUGGUGGACGGACUCUAAUGAUGCCAUGGCAGCCUUGGGGGGUUCUUUUUAUUUUUUUAAAAAAUUAUUUUAAUAUAAAAUUAAUCAAAAAAUGACUCACACUCGCACCCAUGCGCUAGUAAUCAGGCACUUUAUCCUACUCAAUCGAUUUGUGCUACAUAAGCUCAGUUAACGGUCAGAGGGGUUCAAAAUAUUCUGUUUUGAUGUGUUGAGGAGUUCAGAUGACAAAUCGUAUCCAUAUUAUAAAACGGACAUAAUAUAAGGAUCCAUUGAGCCAUUUUGACCGACAAACAGAUUUGAAUUUUUAUGAAUCAAGUUUACAUUUAAGAAAAUUUGAGAUCAUAUGUCAUAUUUUGAUGAAUUUGAAAUUUGAAAUCAUUGUUUUAAAUUAUGAUGUAAAUUACAUCUUAUUGAGAAUAUAAUCCUAAAUAGGAAGGUACGAAGAAUGCGAAUUAGGUUAGAAGGCUAGUGCAUGUGGGUGAGUUGUACCCAAUAAUUAGGAGAACUUUGGGAUAGCUGGGCUGAUAGUGUUAGGGUUAUAUCCAUAGGUUGGAGCUGCUAAUAGGAAGGGAUGGGGUGGUGGGUGCCUUUUGUUCGUUAGUGUAGGAUAUUAUUUUAUGAGUAUCUUAUUUUUAUUAUUUCAUCUUAUUUCAUGUUUUAUUACGACUUUAUUUAUUAUUUUUUGUCUUGAGCCGAGAAUCUAUCAAAAAUAGUAUCUUUAUUUCUCUAAAGGUAAUGGUAUGAACUACGUAUAUUUUAUUUUUUUGAAAUCACACUAUAAAAAAUACAUUGAAUUUAUUAUUGAUGUCAAUUAGAUGUCAAAAUGCUGAUUUGGAAUUAUAACUUCACAUCGUAUGUCCAAAAAUAAGCUGUGUCCCCAGCUCUAGCUUUUACUGUAGUAUAAGUCAUUUAUUGCUCUCACAAAAGAUUUGUAAGAUUAGUGGUCUCAAAUCUGUCAUGUUGACCAGUUACGUACCCCAAAAACAUUGAUUAAGUUGAAUAAACAUCACAAAUUAUCUAUCAUUCCAAUGCAAUAAGUCAAAAAUACUACUCCCUCGUUUCCCUUGAUUUAAAAACGAAUGUCCUAUUUUAAUUUGACAUAAAGUUUAAAAAAUAAUUUCUCUGUUUAGUAUUAAUUGGUCCUAGACACUUGAUAUAUCCAUUAAGAAAUCAAUAAAUAAAGAUGUAUUUUAUAUAUUUAUCCUUUUAUGUCUUUUAGGGGCCGUUUGGUAGCGUGUAUAAAAACAAUGUUGAAUAAGAUAUAUUAGUAAUGUUUGCAUUACUAAUGCAAGUAUUAAUAAUAUUGGUAUUAGUUAUGCAAACAUUAUUACCUACACAGUAUUUGGUUUAAUAUAUUAACAAUAAUAAAUGUUUACAUAAUUUUUAUAAAAAAUGUUUGUUUAUCAAAAACCCUUCUUUUCAUUAAAACUUCAUAGAUAUCUCGUGAUAAUUACGAAUAAUGGUGACAUUAAAACUUCAUAGAUAUCUCGUGAUAAUUACGAAUAAUGGCGACAUCCGCCUACAAAUUCACUCCUUUAACCACCAAUUUCAAUUCUUUAUAUUCAUCCUCCAAAAGCUCCUUUCUCUUCUCUGAAAAAGAUCCUCAAGUGUAAGCACAAUUUCUAGAACUUCAUCAAAAUCGACAUGAUUCAUAAUUCUUCAAUAAAUAUGAUAAUCUGCUCUUCUGCAUAGAGAGUAAUAAAGGUAAACUGAAAGAGAAGGAGAAUUUUGAUACUAAUAGGAGAAGUUUAGGAAGUGAUGUUGACGAAAGAGGACAGACGAGAGAUUCCGACGAAAAAAAUAACAAAGCAAUCAUUAUUUGAUUGAUAAAUAAUAAAAGCAACUUUGAUGGAAAAAAUCACAAUUGUUUGAUUAAAUGAAAGGAAGAACAUAUGGAGAAAAUCAUUGUUGCUUUUUCACAGCAAAGUGCAGUGAAGAAAAGAGAGACAAAAUGAUUUGAGGGAUAAUUUUGCAAUUCAUCAAUUUAAUGCAUGUGUUGAAGUCUUUGUAUUGCUAAUACAUGAAAAAUGGGUGGUACUAGUAAUACACACCUCAAUACACAACAGAGUGUAUAACUAAUACAAACACUAGUUAUACAUAAGAUGAAAAAGUGUACCAAACAAGGUAUUAGUAAUACACAAGGCUAAUACAUGUAUUAUUUUUGCUAAGGGUGUGCAAAAACUAAACCGACCGAUAAACCGAACCAAUAAAAAUGUUAUCGGGUUAUUAGUAUUGGGUUAUUGAGUUAACGAUUUUUUAUUAGUUUUACAAAAAAAUUUAUCAGAUAAACAGUUCGAUUUUGUUUUUAGCUUAUUGGAUUAUCGAUUAAACCUAUAAUCCAAUAAGAAUACACUAAGUUAUUGUUUUACUCCUAUUUGUGUUAUAUAUAUAAAUAUUUAUAUUACUAAUAUAUAUAUAUACACACACACACUACUUAUUCACAAUUCAGAGAUUCACAAAGUAUUAACCUAUUCAAGACAACAAAGGCACAAUACAAAACUCGGGUAUUAUCAAUUGGAAAGCUUGUAGCAUUUAGUAGCUUCCAACAAUUAAGAUUCAGUUUUUUUCCGAACUAACAUUCAAUUCAAAUUUGAAGAUUCUUGUAAACUAAAACAACUAAGAUUUCGUUUGUUUAUUUUAGUUGUUACUAUUUUUAUUUUAUGAGUAUUUUUUUAUUGGUUAAACCGAAAAUCGAACCAUUAAGCACCAAAAACUGAUAAACUGAAAACCGAUAAAAAAAUAUCGUAUUGGUUGGUUAUUGAUUUUGCAUAUUUAAAAACCGAAAAUCGAUAAACCGAACCAAUAACACAUAAAACCAAACCGAACUGACCGAUGCACAACUCUAAUUUUUGCUACACAUUGAGGCAAUAGGGGUAACAACUUUGAAAUCUCAGGUCCAAAGAACUACAAAAAUUGGUGAGUCAAUCCAGCCUUUGUAGACAAGAUUACCUUGAAUACAUGUGCCUAUGGGGUGGACAAGUUGUCCGUUGAAUUAGUCAAGGUGUGCAUAGAUGUUGCAAAAGAUUAUAGAUCAUUCAGCAGAAUGUUGACUGAAGAAAUCAGCUCCACACUCGAUUUCAUCUGUCUUGCUGUUUCCAGAUUGGGCCAUCAAUAUUCUGUAAACUCUCUUUGAACACCUCUCUCCCAAUCUUCUAUCAUCUGACACCAACCCUUCCACUCUCAAGUCUUUCAGCAAAAAUUCUUUCUCAUGCACCUGAAAAUUUUUCAAGAGUAAAAAUAUGUUGGGAACUCAUUUUAUCCCCAACGGACCAACAUAUUAUGGCAUAAGUGAAUCCUCAUUUGACCUUCUAUUAAAUAUUAUUCGAGACUAAAUAACUACAACGAUGCAAGUAGACAUGUUACCAUAACAUUUCAAUUUUUAGUAUUAUCAAGCUCUUGUUUGAACUGAGUCGUCUGAAUGGCCUAACAGUAUCCUCAUUGAACAAGAAUUAAUUACAUUUACCGAAGAAUAGCAGCUCCACAAAGUAAUUUGCCCAUUAGUAAGUGACAUUUCUUAAGCAUACACUCAGCCUCUCAUAUGAACCGGGUAUAUGCUAAUAUGAUAAGAGUCUUUUAAGAAGUUCCUGCCCUCUUUAGAAAGGUCAUUAUCCAACAUCUUAAGUUGAAUACGCUGGUCAAAAGGAGAGGGAUGGAAGUGUAACAAGACCACUGCAUUACUACCUUUUCUCUCCAUUAGCCACUGUAAAUAGCCAGAAUCCUACUGAGUCAGUAACACUGACUAGAACGUGGAUUUACAGAUUGUAGCAAGUGUCUGCAGCGACACUGAAGGAAGUACCAUUCUUGAUAUUAUCUUCCCGUAUAUACAGAGCCUUGAAAGUAAAAGUAGUGAACCAGAAGCGCACUGUGAUAUCAGUAAAUAAGAUACUAUUUCCAAGGGAAAUGAAGGAAAUUUUAUUGCUUACUGAUUUACUUGGAUCCAUGUAAACAUGCAAAAGAGAUUUCAUUGUGGGAUAUUUCUUCCAUAUGGCCAUGGCAAAUCGCGGCUGAACCUUUGGAACAGCCACCAAUGCUUUCAACCUGCAAGAAACGACAAUUCAUCCAAUAAUAACACAGCAGCCACUACUACCCUAGCACCGAAGAUGGUAAAAUGAGUAAACGCUUGUAAAAGGGGGUGAACUUUUAAAACUAUAUGAUAAAUUAGCUUAAUUUUACUACUUAACACACAAUUAACCAUUUUGAAACUACAGAUCAAGUAGAAGCCCCAUACUACAGUAGAAACUAGCCAAGGAAAAACUUGCUAAAUUGGGAUCAUAACUCAAACAUCCUGGUUGGAGUCAAAUGGAGCAGGAAAGAUGGUACAAUUCAGCAGUGAAGGAUGGGUAUCUCUCAGAGUCAAUUAGGAGUGGUGACCAAAUAAGUACAUAGAAAAAACAGAAAAAUAAGACUCAACUCAAGAUAGAGAUACAACAACAAAUUUGCAGAAUUUGAUUAGACUAAAGAUGGAGAUACAACAACAAAUUUGCAGAAUUUGACUAGACCAACUUGGAAAGUGUUCCGUGCAUAUAACUAUUAUCAUGCUUGCUUCAACGAGCUCUAAAAGAUAAAUGCAAGAGCUUAGAAACAUGACGAAUAUUCCAGAGGGUUUCUCAAGGCAGUAUAGUUUAAAUGAAACCGACAAAGUAGAAAAUAAGGACGAUUCUUUACUAUUUCAACCCAAAAAAGGGCUAUUAUUAAGAGAACAAGUGAAGCAAGAAAGUGAUUGAUACACAGCCUCGAGAACUCACCAGAAAAUUUUUUAUGGACAUUGAGGAAAUCCAAACUUCUAAAGUGGAAAACAGCACAAGCACUUACCAUGGGCUCUUUUUUAUCUGGUUCUUGUCAACGCAAUCCUUGGGAAUAAGAGAACCAUUUGCAUUAACAGAUAGUCUUGUUAACUUGUUUCUGUGAAUAAACAAAAACAUCUUAGCAAUGAUAUGUGAAGCAGUAAGUACACAUUAACUUCUUUAUCAUCUCUAUUUAAUCUACAGUUGGCCCAGAGAAUGGAAGUCCUUAGGCAUCUGCAUAUUGAAUGUCUCAAGCAUCACCGUCUCAUUUGAACCAAGAGCAGAAAGGGCAUAAACAACUUUUUCAUUCAACUGAGUAUAGUACUCUCUGUGGCCACAUUCCAUUACCGUGGAGGAUAAGUCCCUAGAAUUCAGGACUUGAUACUCUUCAAAAGCACUUUGCUUUGAUAAGACAUAAUAUCACAUUCCUUCAGUUACUUGUCCAGUUUACACCACAAUUACAACAACAACAUACCCAGUGCAUUCCCACAAAGUGGGGUCUGGGGAGGGUAAAGUACAUGCAGUCCAUACCACUACUUCGGAUGAAGUAGAGAAGUUGUUUCCGAUAGACCCCCGGCUCAGGAUAGAUAACAGUAUAACAAACAAAAACAUAAAAAUAAACAACAAAAUGGGAUAACACGCCGCUAGAUAAUAAAAGAAACAAGACACCGACAAAGUAAUACUAUAAAUUAUUUAUUCAGAAUCACAAACAUCAUCAGAACACUACGAACAACAAACUACAAGCAUAGAUACAAUAAAAGCACUCCUCCUGCUAUUACAGACUCACUCCUACCCACAAUUACAUACUCCAAAACUUCUAAUUUAAAAACAUAUUUAUUUUGACAAAAUCAUUAUAUUAAUUAGAAAGUGAUUGAUUAUUAAGUCACUUAAAAUCCUAACAUUGACUUUUCUUUUGAUAAGUGGUGUCCGGUCCUGCUUGCCCGCACCUCUACUAAUUCCACGAGAUACUUGCCACCUCCCACCAGCAACAGAUACCAGUUAACUCUGUCUACCAAGGCUAGAACAGAUGGGAAGAAAUCACCUAAUGUUUGUCUCUAUUGGGAAUUGAACCUGAGACUUCAUGGUGCUCAACCCAACUUCAUUGAACCACUGGCCACACCCUUGGGUACAAAUCCUAACAUUGACUAAUUAUCAUAAACACUGGUGAGAUAUAUAUCAUACACGAUGCACUUAAGGCUAAGCUUUCAUAGCUAUAUUGAAGUUUCGAUGAUAAAAAACUAACAAAUGACACCCAAAUUUCUUUUAAGACUUUUAGCAAUUAUCGAGUACUAAGAGUAUUUAACAUGAAGAAACACGAAUUUGACAAAUAAAUUGCCAACCAGUCUAAAAAUUUUGGAUGAUAUGAAUUAUCCUAUAGGAUAUGACUAUUGAUGGUGAAGAUAUGAUCAAGAAACACCAAACUGUACAUCUACUUUACGAAUAAAUAUCAACCUCUUUAACGGCCAGCUGAACUUUUUAAUAUAGAAAGUGUCAACUUCAUCCAAUAUUACGUUGGUAUUGGAUAAUGCUGACUCUUAUGUAUGUUUCAGACUCUCAGUGAUCGAUUAAUUUGUAAAAACUAACAGAUAGGAAACAUGAAUACAAUAACAAUAUACCUAGUGUAUUCCCACAAAGUGGGGUCUGGUGAGGGUAAAGUAUACACUGUCCAUACCACUACCUCAGAUAAAGUAGAGAAGUUGUUACCAAUACACCUCGGGCUUAGGACAUGAAUGUAUUUUAAAUUCCCAGAUUACGAAGCAUCCGCACUAAGGGGUCAUUUGGUUCACGAAUUCACUAUGCAAAGAUUAUAGUAAAGUGAUUGCUUUUCGUUUAGUUUGAUGGGAAAUAAUAAAGUGAUUAUUAUGCCAUAUAAUAACGCAGGAAUUGCUAUUCAACUAAUAAUAAUGUAGGGAUUUUUAUUCGUGAAUAAGAAUACAAGAAUUGUUAUGCAAGGAUUGCCUUCUUUAAGGGCAUUUGUCAUUGCAAAAUCAUGUCCAGGUAUAACUAUAUGUAAGUAUAUUUCUAUUUCACAUUUUAUCAUACAGAAAAUAAUAUAUAGAUACCAGCAUAAUUUUUUUUUCUGAUCAAGUAAAAGAUUUCAUUGAUAAUAACAAGGGGUAUACCAAAAAAUAAAAGACCUACUAUGGUUCUCUACAAAAGACACCCAAUCCUCUAUACAGACAAGAACUAUAUGGGUGCACCAAAAGAAAAUAAUGGAUCGGAGACUACUUCUAAGAUGAGCAAAGCUCAUCUCCACCCAUUCAUAAGCUCUCUUAUUUCUCUCUUUCCAAAUGACCCACAUAAGAGUGAGAGGAGUAACAUUCCACGUCUUUUGCCUUUUUCUUCUUGCUCCGCUCGUCCAACUGAACAUCAACUCCUUCACAAAUCUUGGCAUCAUCUAAGAAACGCCAAACCAUUCGAAGAUAUCCCGCCAUAACCUCGUGGCUAAUUUGCAAUGUAAAAGAAUAUGAUCCACGUCCUCACCUGUCUCCUUCCAAAGGAAGCACCAACUCAAGCAUACAACCUUUAGUUUUCUAAGAUUCUCUGCCAUCAAAAUUACCCCUCUAGUAGCUAACAACAUGAAAAAACUCACUUUUCUCGGCACCUUAGGUAUCCAAACAGAAUCAAAUGAGAAACUCUCAUCCGCCCUAACUAAAAGCUUCUUCUAAAAGGAUUUAACAGAGAACACUUUGUUAUUCCCCAACUCCCAACUCAAAGUAUCAGAUCUGUUGAUUGGUUCACAAUGAUUUUGAAGUAAAGCUAACAAUCUUUGAAGCUCGGACACCUCCCAAUCUUGGAAAUUCCUUCUGAACCUCAAAUCCCAAAACGUCCCAUCUCUUUGUGUCCCCCUAAUUUGUUGAACAGGGAAACUCACUUUGGCAAGAAACCCUAAAAAAACUUGGGAAUUCUGUGAAAAAAGUUAAAGAUGAUUUUUUGGAAUAUCAUAGUAUUUUUUUAGAAUGUCCUAGCAUAGAUACUUUGAUAAUUAUCUUGAAGAAUUAUCCAGAUAUUCUAGAGUAUUGUAGAGAAUAAAGUUUGCUAGAAUAUUCUUAUAGAUGUAUCUCGAAAAACUUCUAGAAUCCAUCCAUAAACUAGUAUAAAUAGGGAUGGGUCUUUUACAUUUGUAACCAACCAAAAACAAAUUCAAUACAAAGCAAAUUCAAGUAGUCUUCUUUCAAACCAAGUUCUCCCUUUCAAUCUCUUCCUUCACAUUUCUAGCUUCCUCUUCUCAGUUGAAUAUUCCAAUCUUAGUUAACGAUCUUGGGAUAGUAGAAGGUCUUCUUAAUUACACCUUUCUUCUGUUAUUCUCUACAUGGUAUCAGAGCCAAACUUAUAGAUUGGCUUGUAUUCAAUUCAAGAUUGGGUUUGUGGUCGAUUUAAUUCAAGAUUGUCCGAAUGGAUUUAACCGGUUUGUCCGGAUGGAUUUAACCGUUCGCGUUAAUGAACUAGGAAUGGAGUUGUUGAAUCAGUCUAAUUACAAGGUAUGAAAGAUAUGUAUGGAAUCAUACCUUGUGGGCGAGGAUUUGUAGGAUGUUGUUAAUGGGAGUAACACAAGUUCUCAUGCUGGCAGACCAGAAAAUAAUGGUGAAUAUAAGAAGUGGAAGCAGAUUAAUACAAAGACGGAGUUUAUCUUGAAGAGAUCCAUCUCCUCCAGUUUAUUCGAUCAUAUUAUAAGGUGCAAAAUAUGGAGGACCCUCGAUCAGUUAUUCAACAAGAAGAAUGAAGCUCGACUACAGAUAUUGGAGAAUGAAUUAGCUAACACCAACCAAGGUAAUCUUUUUAUUGCUGAGUAUUUCUUAAGGAUUAAGAAUUUAUGUUCUGAGCUCUCUUUAUUAAAUCCAGAUGAGGCUAUCUCUGAAGCACAACUAAGAAGAAAUAUUAUUCGCAGUUUGAAGCCAGAAUAUAUUUUCUUUGUGACAUCGAUUAAAGGAUGGGCUCAACAACCAUCCGAAUUUGAGAAUUUAGUUACUACGAAACAAUUGGUUGGUGAAUUUGUCAAAGAAAAUGAAGGAAAUGCUCUUGUAGCUGACAAGAGAAACAUUAAAGGAAAAGCAAGAAAUAUGCCUCACUCUCGAUUCUGAAGUGGUUCAAGCUCGCCUGGAAAGAAGGAAGUCUUUUAACAAUUAUAGUAAGAAGCCUACCAGAUGUUAUCGAUGUGGCAAAACAUAAUACAUAUGAAGAUAUUGUCGAGCCAUGGAGAGCAACAUAGCUCAAACUGAAAAAGUUGUUGAAGAAGAAGAAGGUUGGGGAAGAUGGUUAGUAGCUGAAAGUCGAGCAAUAGAUGCCCUGGCUUCUAUAAAGUUGGAAAAAGAUUGAAUCGAAUAUAAUACAAUCCAUCAUAUGGAGAAGGAAGGCAUUGAUAAGAAGCAAGAAAAUUUUGAAGACGUUCAGACAGGUGACACGGUAGCUGCUAUCAAGGAAAUCAAAGAACCAACAACAACAAACUCAGUCUAUUCUCACAUAAUGGGAUUUGGGGAGGGUAAAAUGUAUGCAGUCCAUACCACUACCUUCAAAGAAGUAGAAAGGAUGUUUCCGAUAGACCCCCGGCUCAAGACAAAACAAAGUCGUAAUAAAACAUGAAGCGAGAUGGAAUAGCAGAAAUAAGAAAUAAGACACGCACUAAGUAUUACCAUAACACUAACAAACCAACAAACCAAAAGCACCCACCACACCCAAACUCUCCUAACCAGAAGCUCCAACCUAUGGACAUAACCCUAAGACUACUAGCCUUGCUACAUCAAAGCUCUCCUAACAACAGGCUACGAUUCACCCACACGCACUAGCCUUCUAACCUAAUUCACGUCCUCCAAACUUUCCUAUCUAGGGUUAUGUCCUCAAUAAGCUGUAACUGCUCCAUGUCACGUCUAAUCAUCUCCCUCCAGUAUUUCUUUGCCUACCUCUACCCCACCUGAAACCAUCCAAAACUAGUCUCUCACACCUACGAACUGGGACAUCCAUGACUUUCCUCAUCACAUGCUCAAACCAGAAUCCGAAACCAUUCUAUGCCACCAAACUAAAAAAAGCAUCAAACUAUGCCAUAUAUUUUAAAAAGUACCAAACUAUGCUUAACUCACAAAAAUUAUGAGUUAUGCACAAAUAUUUUUAACGGAAGGCAGCAAACGACGUUAAAUUUUUUGAAAAGUGCAUAACUCACAAUUUUUGUGAGUUAUGCAUUCUUAUUUUAACAUAACUCACAAAAAUUGUGAGUUAUGCAUUCUAUUAUAACAUAACUCACAAAAAAAAUUUGUGAGUUAUGUACAUAACUCACAAUUUUUAUGAGUUAUGUGUUAAAAAAUAAAGCCUUUCCCUUUCCCAAUCUUCACUUUAGCGAUUGAGAUUCAAAAUUUCAAAGAACCCUACCCAAUUUCAACUGGUCCCCCCUUCUUUGUCCAUCGAUUGUGCUUCGUAUAGUUUUCAAGUAUGUGAAUUUUAUUUUAAAACAUAUGAUAAAUUGCAGUGUACCCAAAUUCAUAGUCAAAAUUAAGUGUUUUGACUCUCGUACUUUGAACUAUUUUACAUAAAUUAAGAUAAAGAGAGUAGAUUUUGAACCCAACAACAACAAUAAUAUAUAUAUCAAGUGUAGUUACACGAGUGAGCCCGAGAAAGAAUAGAAUGUAUGUAAAUUUUAUCCCAUUCGUAAAGAUUGUGAACCUAAUAGGGUAAAUUAGUUGUGGUAGGAUCCUGAACUUGUUUCAAUAUAUAACAUCCCAAUUUUAAAUUUGCCUAUGUUUAGAUUGAUAUGAAGUUAUAGUUAUUGUUUGGGACAUAAAUAAAUAAAUUAAUUCAUGUCCAAGCUUUUCUAAUAUAAAAUUAGGGCCAAAAAGAAAAUAAGAAAUUUAUCUUUAAAUCAGUUGUCUCGAGUUUGAAUUCUAUUGAAUAUAAGAUUGUCUUUGUUAGUGAGCUUUAAUUCCCGUUAUAAGACUUUAUGAAACAAAUUCAAAUUUAAUCAGGCCAACAACAUAUUCAGUGUAAUCUCAUAAAGUCGAGUUUUAACAGAAUAAAAUUUACUCAGGCCUUUUCUCUAUUUCAAAGAUGAGGUAGAUAGGUUGUUUCUGAAUUACUUCCGACUCAAAAUAAGAACAUACUAGAAAAUUUAAACAAUGCCUACUAUGAAUAUCGAAUAUCCAAGUGAAAAACAAAAGAAUACAUAAAUCUUAACUAUACAAAAUUAAUUCAUGUCCAAGCACAAUCAGUGGACAAGGAGGGGGGGGACCAGUUGAAAUUGGGUAGGGUUUUGUGAAAUUUUGAAUCUCAAUCGCUAAAGUGAAGAUUGAGCAAGGGAAAAGCUUUAUUCUUUAACACAUGACUCAUAAUUUUUGUGAGUUAUGUUAUAAUAAAAUGCACAACUCACAAAAAUUGUGAGUUAUGUUAAAAUAAGAAUGCAUAAUUCACAAUUUUUGUGAGUUAUGUUAAAAUAAAAUGCAUAACUCACAAUUUUUGUGAGUUACGUUAAAAUAGGAAUUGAGUAACUCACAAAAAUUGAGUUAUGCACUUUUCAAAAAAUUUAACGUCGUCAGCUGCCUUCUGUUAAAAAUAUUUGUGCAUAACUCACAAUUUUUGUGAGUUAAGCAUAGUUUGGUAUUUUUUAAAAUAUACGACAUAGUUUGGUGCUUUUUUUAGUUUGGUGGCAUAUAAUGGUUCCGGAUUCCCCAAACCAUCUCAACCUCACUUUCCGCAUCUUGUGAGUUAAGCAUAGUUUGGUGCUUGUUUUAGUUUGGUAGCAUAGAAUGGUUCCGGAUUCCCCAAACCAUCUCAACCUCACUUUCCGCAUCUUGUCCUCCACCGAAACCACUCCCACCUUCUCCCGAAUAGCCUCGUUCCUAACUCUAUCUCCUCUAGUAAGUCCACACAUCUAACGCAACAUCCUUAUUUCCGCCACCUUCAGUUUUUGAAUGUGGGAGUUCUUGACUGGCUAACACUCCACUCCAUACAGCAAUGGCCGGACGGACUGCCACUCUAUAGGAUUUGCCUUUAAGUUUGGAAGGAACCUUCUUAUCACCCAACACUCUCGAGGCGAGUCUCCACUUCAUCCAUCCUGCCCAGUACGGUGAGAGACAUCCUCGUCAAUCUCUCCAUUCCACUGAAUCAUAGACUCAAGAUACUUAAAACUAUCCCUCUUACAAACAAAUACUUAAAGUAGAUUUUGAGCAGACAAUGUCUGAAACUCUAUAUGUCAAUGAUGACUUUAUCGGAGAAAUCAUUAAGGGAGAUGUAGUAGAAGUUGAAGUCUCUGGUCAAUCAUCUAUCGUAUCAUGGUCAAUUGUUGGCUCAGAGAAAAUACUGGAAGUUGAUGUAGAUGCUAAAGAUCAAAUAGAUGAAGACGCUAAAAUCAAAGCCCCAAUUUAAGAUAAAGAGACAUACAAUAUGAUUGAAGAACUAGAAACAGAAUCUAGUGGUGGAUUCUAUUAUGGUACUGAGGCUUCACAAAAAUUUGAUGAUCAAAUCAUCAUCGAAUCAAACGAGGAGGCUGAUAUUGAUGAAAUAUCCUUGUACUUCGGAGUUGUAUCUGAAGGAGGAGGUUUUAAAAUAUUGAACCUUGGAGUUUCAAACUUGCCCAUGACAAAAGCUUCUCCAAAGAAUAUUGUCGUUGAGGAAUUCAGAGAACGGGGGAGAUCGAGAACUCAUCAACAUAAAACUCGACAAGGAGAUGACUCACUUGGUUCACAAAGGCCAAAAGGAAAUAUUGUAAAGUCGGUACGUUACAAAGAUAAAACUUUUGUUAGUACAUAUACACGUAUCUUUGCAGGACCAAUUGAUGACAUAAAAACUUCAUUAUUUGAAAAAGUUAGAGGAGUUAAGAAAAAAUUUCAAGAAUUUCCACCAAGGCAUGGUUCAAAGCUUCGUUUGAGUUCUUUCGCGACAAGCUUGGGGUAGUUUUCAAAAAAUCACUUUAAGGGGGAGUAUGAAAAAUGCUAAAGAUGAUUUUUUAGAAUAGCAUAGUUUUUUAUAGAAUAUCCUAGUAUAGGCACUUAGAUAAUUGUCAAGAAUUAUCUAGAUAUUCUAGAGUAUUGUAGAGAAUAAAGUUUGCUAGAAUAUUCUUAUAAAUGUAUGCGGCGGGGUUAGAGAAGAAAGGCGGGGAAAAAAGGUUGUAUAGGCUUGCUAAGGCUAGGGAGAGCAAGGGUCGUGACCUCAAUCAAGUGAAGUGCAUUAAGGGGGAGGACGGUAGAGUUCUAGUGGAGGAUGUUCACAGUAAGAAGAGAUGGAAGGAGUAUUUUCAUAGACUUUUAAACGAGGAGGGGGACAGACGCAUUGCGUUAGGAGAGUUAGAGCGCUCGGAGGAGAGCUGUGACUUCAGUUACUAUAGACGUUUUAAGGUUGAGGAGGUCAGAGAGGCUAUUCGUAGGAUGCGGAGGGGUAGGGCGACUGGGCCUGAUGAGAUUCCGGUGGAUUUUUGAAAGUAUGCUGGGGGCAGGUUUAAGAUGGUUGACUGAUUUGUUCAACGCCAUUUUCAAGACUGCGAGAAUGCCUGAGGUUUGGAGAUGGAGUGCGAUGAUUCCGUUAUAUAAAAAUAAGGGUGACAUUCAGAGUUGCAACAACUAUAAGGAUAUUAAGCUGUUGAGUCACACUAUGAAGAAUUGGGAGAGGGUGGUUGAGCGGAGAUUGAGGGUCGUAUCUAUUUCUGAGAAUCAGUUUAGUUUUAUGCCUGGUCACUCGACGACAGAGGCAAUCCACCUGGUGAGAAAACUGGUGGAGCAAUAUAGGGAAAGGAAGAGGGAUUUGCACAUGGUGUUUAUCGAUCUGGAGAAGGCGUAUGACAUACGGGAGGUUCUUUGGAGAUGUCUGGAGGUGAGAGGAGUUCCGGUGGCGUACAUCAGAGCUAUUAAGGACAUGUACGAUGGAGGGAAGACUCGGGUGAGGACGGCGGGAGGAGACUCAGGGCAUUUUUCGGUCGAGACACGUUUGCACCAGGGUUCAACCCUAAGCCCGUUCCUAUUUGCGUUGGUGAUGGUCGUGUUGACGCGGAGUAUUCAAGAUGAGUUGCCGUGGUUUAUGUUAUUUGCGGAUGAUGUAGUGCUGAUUGAUGAGUCGCGGGGGUGUGUGAAUGAGAAAUUGGAGGUUUGGAGGCAAAUCCUUGAAUCUAAGGGGUUCAGGUUGAGUAGGUUCAAGACGGAGUAUUUGGAAUGCAAGUUCAGUGACUCGAGUCAGGAGGACGGUGUGGUGGUGAGGUUGGAAUCUCAAGAUGUUUGUAAGAAGGAUAGUUUUAAGUAUCUUGGGUCUAUGAUUCAGGGGAAUGGCGAGAUUGAUGAGGAUGUCUCUAAUCAUAUCGGAGCUGGUUGGAUGAAGUGGAGGCUCACCUCGGGAGUGUUAUGUGAUAAGAAGGUGACCCUUCCGGUCAUGCUGUAUGGAGCGGAGUGUUGGCCAGUCAAGAAAUCUCAUAUCCAAAGAUUGAAGGUGGCUGAAAUGAGAAUAUUGUGUUGGAUGUGUGGUCUUACUAAAGGGGAUAAAGUUAGGAAUGAGAUUAUCUAGGAGAAGGUGGGAGUGGCUUCGGUGGAAGACAAGAUGCGAGAAGGCAGGUUGAGAUGGUUUGGGCAUGUGAUGAGGAGGAGCACGGAUGCCCCUAUUCGGAGGUGUGAGAGGCUAGCUUUGCAUGAAUUAAGGAGGAGUAGAGGUAGGCCAAAGAAAUAUUGGAGGGAGGUGAUUAGGCACGACAUGGACCAGCUUCAGCCUACUGAGAACAUGACCCUAGAUAAGAAGGUGUGGAGGUCGCAGAUUAGAAUAGAAGGCUAGUGUGAGUGUAUGGGUUGUGGCUAGGGGUUAGGAGAGUUAUGGUGUGGUGGGUGUCUUAGGUAUUGUGAGAGUAUGUCAUUACUACGUGAGUAUCCGUUUUCUUAUAUUUAUUGUGUAUUGCUCAUAUUUUCUCUUAUUUCGGAAUUCUCUGAUAUUUAUCUCUUAUUUUUGUUUAUGUUAUCCACCAUGUCUCAUGUUUCAUUACGGCCUUGGUAUACUAUUCUCAUUCUUGAGUCGGGGGUCUAUGGAAAACAGUCUCUCUACCUCUUUGGAGGUAGUGGUAUGGACUGCGUACAUUUUACCCUCCCCAAACCUCACUUUGUGAGAAUACACUGGAUCUGUUGUUUUUGUAUCUAGAAAAACUUCUAGAACCAUCCAUAGACUAGUAUAAAUAAGGAUGGGUCUUUUACAUUUGUAACCAACCAAAAACAAAUCCAAUACAAAGCAAAUUCAAAUAUUCUUCUUCCAAAUCCAAGUUCUCCUUUUCAAUAUCUUUCUUCACCUUUCUAGCUUCUUCUUCUCAGUUGAAUAUUCCAAUCUUCGUUAACGAUCUUAGGCUAGCAAAAGGUCUUCCCAAUUACACCUUUCUUCUGCUAUUUUCUACAAAUUCAUCCUUAAGCACCAAGCCUCCACACCACUCUUACCUAAAAGACUAACUCCACUCCCUUCCCAACCUUAAACCCAAUAUUGUCACUAAAAGCUUCCCACCCCUUCAUAAUGCUCCUCCACACACCACACCCAAAAGGCAAAGUUAUCCUAUUUGUUCUCCAUCCCCUUCCAUAUCUCCAUAUUUACCCACUAUCACCCCUCUCCAUAAAGCUUCUCCCUCCACCACAAAUCUCCACAACCAUUUGCCCAAGAGAGCUUUGUUAAAAACCUUCAAAUCCUUAACCCCAAGACCUCCACACCGUUUAGGAGAUGUCAUGGUCUCCAAUCGAACUAAGUGAAACUUCUUUGCCCCAUCCGCCACAUUCCAAAGAAAAUUUCUUUGCAACCUAUCCAACUUCCCUAUAACAUCAUUGGGAGCAUUGAACAAGUACAUGCAAUAAGUAGGGAUACUUGAUCAAGUGCUCUUAAUAAGCACUUCCUAACAAGUAUCUUUUCUACCAACCAGCUAAUAGAUGCCAGCCUAAAUUAUACCAAGCUACUAACAAUACAGAGUUUAUCGCUGAACCAACUAUUGCAUUUAGCUACUGCAGAGUCAUAAACCAGAAAACCAAAUGUUUUAUUGGUUUGAUUUUUUUUUGGUUUGCUCACAUGCACGUUUUACGAAUAUGAAAUGGUCUGGUUUAUUUUUCCUCAAACAUUCAGCCAACAAAAUGAUUAUAGUGGCAUUAUUACUGAUUUUUUUUUGUUUGCUCACAUGCACGUUUUACGAAUAUGAAAUGGUCUAUUACCUUCAUAAAUAAAGCACUGCAUCAGUUAAAUACUGAAUUUCACUAGAAAUUUAAUUGACUUGUUAGCAUAAUAUUUCGCGACCCCCUGAAACUGGCACCACUUAAUCGGUGCACACUUCAAACUAUUUUUUAAUUUAAAUUACCCCUCUAUGCUUGGCUAUUUGGGAGUCUUCAGCCCCGUGGAUGACCUCAACCCAAGGAGGUAUGGUGCACUCCCUGCCAUGUGGAUAUUUUUUAUAAUAAAAUAUGUUUUAUCUUUUCUAAUUCAUUAAUUUUCCAAAAGCAAAUAAGCAGAAACCAGUUGUUGCUGUUUAAUGAACUACAAGAUUCACAUUAAAAUCACUGUUCAACUUGCCCACUCAUCGGAAAAAAAAAGGAAAAAAUGACCAAAUAUUUUCCUUCUGAAAGCAACAGAGUAAACAAGAGGCCCAAUCUUUCCUAAUUAGCAAGUUUAGUAGAAGUACAUAAAAGUCCACAAAUUCACAAUUCAGCGGGUAUCAUAAACUACCCCAAAUUUUAAUUCAAAUUACUACAAGCGUGACACAUUGAUAUUAUUAAGAUGUUAGCAUAAAUGGCAUCCAUUGAAUUGUCCAAGAAUACAAGUUCACUGAAAUAUAACUGACAUACCUAAACUGACAAGAAGCUAGGCUGCAAGUCAGCCCAGCUACAUGUUCAGCUAAUUCAGCUUCAUCGACACAGUGCCUAUAGUGCACCUUAGCAAAGCUAAUUGUUAAUUUUGAUAGAACCUGCCAAAGAAAAGAGGAAUUCAACGCCCAAGGAAUAGCACCAGAAUUUCAAGCUUACAUGAGUAAGAUGAUUAGUUCCAAUAAUUACAAGAACCAGUGUAGCAACAACCUCCUCUAUAGGUGGUCGUCUCCAACCAGUAUGAUUGGCAGGGUCCUUGUAUUGUCCUUGUUCCCUAUCACCAAUAGCAGUAACAAUUAUUAGGUACUGUGGAAAAUUAAAUAACUUUCUGCUUUCUUAAGCAUUAGAGAUCUUGAAGCCCUGACCAAUUGUUUCUUUGCGCUAUACAUGAAAUUCAUUCCACUGAACGUAGAGGAUUUGGGUCAGAAGAAGUGCUUAGACUUACCUAAAUAUGAUGACAAAGAAAAUAACACUCACAAGACAACCUUUUUAGGGGCACACAGAAUUCCACCAACAAAAAGAAAAAAAAAUAUAUGCCCAAGAUUAGAAUGCUUUAUGUUACAUGGACUUGGUUAUAAGUAUCAAAUAUGUAUGUCUCGUUCUGUAAUCAGUAAAUAAUUUGUAAUAAUAAGGAUUAUGAAUUACACAUACCCAUGCAAUACCAACUAAACAAGUUCAUGUACCAGAGGAGUUGACUAGCAAAUCAAACUUGAACUACUGCAUUUCUCUGUGUACUUCUAAGAUAAAGCAAAUAGAAAUAAACAUUUUCAGUUAGAAUUAUCUCAACUAAUUUUUUCACCCUGGCUUUAAUUUAAAACUCAAUGCGCUGCUGCUUUUUUCAAUAAUCGAGAAAUCCCCAAGGGACUCUGCUGCAACUUUUAUUCUUUUCUUGAAGAAAGAACAAUUAGAUAUUAAUAAUAGAAAACACGAGAACCUAAUAGGUGCAUUGUAAUUGUACUUAAAACAGUUUGCUCCUCAAAGUUUCAUUACAACUUAACAUUCACCAAAAAAAUAAUCAACAACGAAAUGUAAAAUUCAAUAUCUGUCACAGCUUGUUUUCAUCUCUCUAACAUGUCAGACGUGAAGAGAAGAACAUCGAGAAAGAAAAUGCACCUAUAACAGAAGGUUCUAUAAAUGGAUGACAGAUGUAGUCAACAAUCGAAUGGUCAAAUUAAGGAACUGUCAUACAUGAAGAAAAAAGGUUGAAAAAGAAAAUUACGGCAACAGCAGUGUUCCACAAACGGGGAACAGAAAAGAUAUAGCGUCCGUGUGUAUUCAUAGCAAAAACAAAACACAUUCAAGAGAUAAUAAAUUAACGAACUUAACAAUAACAACAACUACACCUCAAUCCCAAGUUAGUGGGUAAAUUUUACAAAAGCAAAAGUGAAAAAGAGUUAAGAUAAAGGACAAAAAAGAAGUUACUGUCAACCUUUUGUUGAUGUAUGCCAAAAGCUUGUUUGUGAGAUAACAAACUGUAUGAAGAGGAUAAAGGCGUUGAACACUGGAAACAUGACUCAUCAAUGAUCCGCUGUUCACAAGGUUGCAAAACUCUUCGGCCUCAAAUAUGAAUAAUACAUAUGAAACAUUAACUUCAGAUGCGAUCUGCACAAAAGGAAUCUAAUGACCUCAAUAAAAUGCAAAAAUUAGAAAGAAUAGUUACCCCUAGCUUUAGAGAACCAGUUCAAAAACGUGAUAUUGUAGCAGCACUAGCAUACACAAUUGCCAUCAUACACAUGACGAGUAGAAAGCUCAACAACAAUAACAUACCCAGAGUAACCCCACAAGUGGGCUAUGCUCUUUCAACACAAUUCAAAAACUUAGAUAGUUUCUCUGGGACAAAAUUGUAGAUAGCACUACCCCCUUUACCUUCGGCACAGAAAUUUGGACAGCCCUGAAAGCAAGGGAAACUCUGUCCAAUUUACUUAGAACAGCGGAAAGGCUUGCGUGGGUGUUUUACCCACUAAGGGCCUGUGACCACCCUAGAUUGGGCUGUGACAAGUGACUACCCAAAUAUUACCAUCAGGAAAAAAAAAAUUGCUUUUGCAAAAAUAAUAGACAUCCCAAUGGAUAUCCCAUAAAAAUGCACACAUUUUAGCACUAACUAUAGUCAAUUAUGCAUCUAUUAUUCUAUGAAAGUUAAAUGGGUAUAAUAGUUAAGUAUAUGACAUUAAAACAACUAUUAAAAGGUAGUCGAGUAGUUCAAGAUAGCUAACUGAAAUCUGCCAAAUAUUUGAAGAACAAGUUACCUUAGAUAGUUCCUCUGGGACACUCAUUGACCACACAAUAGACUUCUCAAUCGGAUUUGAUUUAAUUUGAUAGGAAAGACCUUUCUCCGCAAGCCUUGUUAGCAAAUGGCCUGCAUGGUAGAAUUGUCAUGUAGAACAGUCGUUUUUACGCAAUAAUGGACACACAGAAGGGGGAGGGAAAGAAACUAACAGAGAAAUGAGAUCUACCUGCAAUUGAGCCUAGUUCCACAACCUUAGUGUCAACUUGAGCUACAAUAGACUUCUGUGCUAACUUUCCCUUUUCCCACUUCUGCUUUUCCUUUUGUAUUUUUUUCUUCUCAGCAGCUUCCGCCCUUUCGGCUGCCUUUUGCAAUUUCUCUUGCUGUAUUAUGAAUAUAUACUAGAUUAUAUGUCAUAACUACUUAAACCUCCAAAUAAAUAGGCUUUUUAUCAAGGCUUACCUCUUUCUGAUACUUCUUUUCUUCCUUUAGACGAAGCUGUUCUUCCUUUGACUUCCUCAUUUGCCCUGUUGCUUCAUCCCCACUGCUUCUUUUACUUCUAUUGCCUUUACCUUUGCCCUUUGGUCUUGAAACCUCAUUGUUUGGCUCCAAAGAAUCAUUUUCUUCAUAAUGAUGACCAUAGUCCUGUAAGCAAAUUGCACCAUCAAAAUUUACACAGAGACAAGCCCUUUUGAGAAUUUAAAAAAGCUCUAGACAAAGAUACAAACAGUCAGAACAUGUCUUAAGCAGUAUCCUUCACACUAAUUAUUUAGGCACAUCUGUGAAUAGGCUUAUAAUCUUCAGAUGCCUAUUUCAUUUGGCAGAAUAGGCAGUUAAGAGUUCUGGAUAUGAAUCAGCUCCACAGGAUGCACAGAUCUCUAAUUCAGAUUGAAACCUUCUACCCUUCUGAUAACAAAUAAGAAACCCUAGAGGUGCAAACCAUUUUAAAACAGUUUGGACAUUCACAGUGUAUGAGUAGGUGUAUCUAAAUGACACAAAUAAUUAUGAACAAAACUCACUCUGCGAAUUUAAGCUCAAUUUGAGUUCAUUUAUUUAGUACAAGCUCAAGUUUAAUCAGACCACUUGACUAGAUGUUGUUCAUUAGAAAGUUCUUUCGUACUCUCUUUGGAGAAAGAUAUAUAGUUGAGCACUUAGAGUUUCUGUUUUCCACCUCAGGUCCUCAAUGCUCAAACCUACCCUAAGCCACCUUCUCACUACCUUCCCUCACCUCUUUCUCCAAGUUUCUGCUUUUCCUUCUCCAUUAGUGUUGUUUUUCCUGUCUUUAGGUAUUGCCUAAUUCAGGCCUCUCCUCCUCUUUUUCUCCUGUCCAAUCCAAGCUGCACCCUCACCUUCUCAUUGCUAUUGUGUCUGUCAAUUACUCUUUUCUUCCACAGCCUUUUACCUCACUGUUUGAAAUCUCACUUUAUUUAAUAUUUCUUUGAUUGAAAACUGAGAAAUGAGAUCAAUUUGAUAGCAUAAUCAAGAGCGAAUUUGAUUGCAAUUGAUAAGAAACCUUGCGGAAGGGUUCAAAACAGUAAACUUUGUUCUUAAUCUAAGCUCGACUUCAAGCUUUUCCUUGAGAAGCGAGAAGCAACUGAACAACAGUUUAGCCUCCAAGGAUAAGUGAGUAGAGCUGAUUGAAUAUUCACAACUCAAUUUAGAACACUUGUUCACAUCCCAACCUAAAGGAGUAUAUGGUACCACUCCUAUAUUCCUGAGGCAAGUUACGAGGUAUCUGUAUUAACUUAUAUAGUUGAACAGGAGUCAAAUCCACUUUUUUCCAGUGAUGUAAUCAGUAGUCGAAUUGUCAGAAAGUCCUAAAUAAAGUUAACUGAACGUGACUGUUCUUUUUAUGUCUUCAUCUUUGGAGUUAUCCGCGCAAAAUCACACAAGCUUCUGUGAGUGAUGUGUGUACCAAGGAAUGGUCAUAAUACAACAUCCUGAUAAAAGUUGACUUCUCUUUGGAGUUUGGGAGCACACAUGCACAAGAUGAAAAGAGCUGUGGAAAGGGGUUGAUUUGAGCCUAUUGCUAUGCAAACAAAUAAGAACAACAUACUCGGUGUAAUCCCACAAGUGGAGUCAAUGGGGAGGUUGUAUCCAGACCUACCCUACCUUUGUGGGAUAGAGAGGUUGUUUCUAAUAGAACAAACAAAUAAGAAAAUGUUGAAAAAUGUUAGGAUAUGAGGAGAAAUAAUAAUAAACUUAAACCAGGAAAACACACCAGAGAAGGACCGGCUUCAGUCAAAUUUCGAUGAGAAACAUCCUCUAGCAUUCGCAUAAAAUUGUCAACACCUGUACAACAGUUUUUUGUCUCAGUUGAAUAGCCUGACAGUUAAUUCCAGCCAAUGGAAAGUUUGAUUCUCUAAUCUUAUUCACCAGUAGAUUAAACAGCAAUAGCUUACCAAGAGAAAAAGUGGACACGAAAGGUCUGGAGCUCAAUUCUGUCUCCUUUACAACCGCCUCCGUGGAACAAACUUUCUCCUCCUCCUUCCAGGCACCACAAUUAUAACUCUUCUCGGACUCAUUAUCAGACUCCAAACAAAUUACUCGAUCAAUUCCUGAAGGAUGGCUUAAAUUAAAGAAGAGCCACAGGUUCGAAUAAACACACUGCAUGAGCAAAAAUAAAUGGCAAUUCAUGCAAACCUAAAGAAUAAAAUUGUUUACAACAAAAGCGCACAAGAAUGGUGCAAGAGAUCUCCUCUAAGUUAAAACAGCCCACUUGUGCAAGGAAAGGUGUGGACUAAACUCUGAAGCUAUACGGAAUCCUUUGAGGAUUGACAAUUUCUUUUCUUCAGAAAGUUGUAUGCCAAGGUGAUGCAAAGGAGCUGAGAGAUUACAGACUUGUCAGUCUGAUAGGUAGAGUAUACAAAAAAUCUCCAAGCUACUCACAGAAAGGUUGAAGACAGUAAUCUCCAAGCUACUCACAUCAGAUGGCUUUCAUCAAACGUAGGCAGAUCAUGGAUGCUGCCCUGAUCUCAUGUGAACAGGAGCUUUGUUGAACAUGCUGACGAGAAUGGGUUUUGGCAUUACUUGGAUGAAAUGGAUCCAGUUCUGUAUCAGCACAAUUAAAUUUCCAGUUCUGAUCAAUGGGCUUUUUCACUUCAAGUAUAGGAUUAAGGCAUGGUGAUCCAGUUUCACCUUUCCAUUUCCUGAUUGUCACGGAGGGUCUAAACAACAUGCUGCUCACAGCUCACAAGAACAACUGGCUCAGAGGUUUUAAAGUCAGCAACAAACAAGGGAACAAUCUGGAAAUCACCCAUCUGUUACAUGCAGAUGAUGCAAUUAUCCUUUGUGAUAUAAAGGCUGAGCAGAUGGAGAUUUUGAGAGCUAUUUUGAUUAUCUUUGAAGGGGUCUUUGGGUUACAUGUACACUGGAGGAAAAGAGCCAGUUAAUGAACCUCGAAACAUUCAGCUUUGUGUGGAUAUUUUAAGAGGAGAAAUAGGCACACUACCACAACAUAUCUUGGGAACAAAGGCACAUUGCAGGUCCAUCAAUAUUUGGAAUAGAGUGCUUGAAAAAUGUGAGGAAAAACUCACUAGAUGGAAGAGUCAGUACCUACUUUUAGGUGGCAGACUUAUUAACAGUGUUCUAGAUUGCACUCCCUACCCACAUGACGUCGCUCUUUCCCAUACCACCACAGGAUGAAAAAAAGUUGGACACACUGAGAAGCAACUUUCUAUGGCAACUGGCAAGGCAACAAAGAGAAGAAGAGUAUACAUCUUGUCAAAUAGAAAAUAUUAACACUCAGCAAGAAAGACUGGGCAUAAGAAACUUAAGAAAGCAAAACCAAAGCCUCAUAAUGAAAUGGCUCUAGAGAUAUUCAAAUGAAAAUCAGGCAAUAUAGAAGAAUGUGACUAAGGGGUCCUUUGGUAGAGUGUAUAAGAAAAAUGCAAAAUAUGGAGUAUUAGUAAUGCUUGUAUUAGCUAUGCUUGCAUUAGCUAUGCUUACGUUAGUUAUGCUUGUAUUUUUCUUAUGCAGUGUUUGGUUUGAUGUAUCAAAAAUAACAUGAAUUACAUAAUUUCAAAAAGAAAUAUAUAUAUUACAGAAAUAAAUUCCAUAUAUGUGUUGAAAAGGAUGCAGAAAAUUUUUUAAGGGAUAAUAAUGUCUUUAAUCAUGUUAAUGCAUGCAUUGAAUUCAUUGCAUUGCUAAUACCAUGGAUUUUAAGGUAUUAGUAAUACACACCUUAAUACACAAUAGUGUAUUAGUUAUACAUAGGGUGAAAAAAUAAAUCAAACAAAUAUUAGUAAUACACAUUAGACUGAUGCAUGCAUUAACUUUCCAAUACACUUUACCAAACGACCCCUAAGGAACAAAAUGGAGAUGGGGAUGCCUGGAAAACCAAAGUUGUAAGCAAUGUGCAUGGGGCUAGUGUUUGGAGGACCAUCGGAAACUUGUGGAGAAUUUUCAGCAUCAACAUCAACUAUAAGAUAGAGAAUGGACAAAGAAUCUCUUAAUGGGAAGAUAAUUGGAUAGGCAAUGGCCCUUAAAAACAAUUGUAUUCUGAAUUUUACAAACUAAACCAACAACAAAGAGCAAAAGUUAGUGAGGUAUGAAAUAAUCAAGGAUGGAACCUUACUUUUAGAAGAUAUUUGAAUGAUUCGGAGUUGGACAAAUUCAAUGCAUUUUCAACAGUCUCAAUCAAUUCAAUGAAGUGUCACUGGAUCAGGAUAGAUUAUGUCUAUGUUGCUCGGGCUCCUAAAAAAUGUCAUCGGAUUCGUGUCGGAUCCUCCAAAAAUAUUGCAUUUUUGGAGGAUCUGACAUAGGUGCGGCCACAUUUUUUAUUAGUCCAAGCAACUUAGCAUUAUGUUGGUUGGGAGACAAAGCUGGAGAUAUUUCACUAAGGUGAACACACAAUUGGAGAAAUUACAGCAACACAGAAAUACAAUGGCCCUAGAGACAGCUAUGGAAGGCAAACAUGUCAUACAAAAUUGCAUGCUUUGUAUGGCUAGUGGUAAGGAGGGGUUGUUUGACACAAGAUGGGCUGCAAAGAAGGGGAAUACACUUAUGCUUUUUAUCUACCUUCUUUGUGGAGAAUAUGCAGAACCAAAUAGUCUUUUUUUUUUUGCACUGCAAGGUGACUUCUCAGUUAUGGAACAUCUUUCUAGCAAACAUUGGAUUGAGCUGCGCAAUGCCCACCAAUAUACUGGAUCUGCUAACUAGUUGGAGCAGGAGAAGAGGAUCUAAAGCCCAAGAAAAGAUCUGGAAAAUAAUUCCAAGAUGUAGAUGGUAGACUAUCAGGAAGGAGAGGAACUCAAGAGGCUUUGAAAACAAAACCAACUCAUACAACAACAACAAACCCAGUAUAUUCCCACAAAGUAGGGUCUAAGGAGGGUAAGUGUACGCAGUCCAUACCACUACCUCAGAGGUGAGAUGGAGAGGUUGUUUCCAAUAAACCCCCGACUCAAGGCAAAAACAGUCCAGAAAGGAAAUAGUUAAGAACAAAAGCAACUCCAUCCAAACGAUAAAGCAAAUUUUAGUCAACUUUUGCAUUUUUGGUGUGUUGGAAUGUUCAUAGCAGAUGCAGGGACACAAGCAUAGUUUUGAGAGUCCCUAUAGAAUUUUUUCUUUGCCAAUCAAGCCUAGAUUUAUCUUGUAAUUAUAACCUAUAUGGUUUUCUUGGAUUAAUACAAAUGUUAACUUAUCAAAUAAAAAAAAAACAGUAUGCCAAGAAAAUAAAAGAACCAAAAUGAGAAGAAUCUGCAAGUAUGUCAAGGCUAGGUUGUCAUUUUCCUAUUUGUUUCAUCUGAACUAAAAUCUAUAAGCCAAUGUACCCAUAUUUUUAGGGUUAACAAAUACAUUAUAAGGACCAAAAUAUCCCUUCAACCAUCUCCCUUUGGCAUCAGAGAGAAACAUGUAUGAGGACUAUGCCUAACUAGCUCAAAGUUUAUGGAUGACCACGACACAAGGCACACUGAGAAUCUAUCUUUGCAGAAAAUUACUAAAUAAUCACACACAGCUCAUAAGAGCAGGAAGGGUGAUGUAACACGAAGAGCAAACCAAUCUUCCGCUCAUCUAGGUUAUAAUAAGUAUCACAAAAGUUUCCUACUUUAGUUUAACAUGAUGUAUAUCCAGGGAAAGGCAAACACACUAAAAGGGAAACUAGGAGCAUAAAGCAUCUCACAUUCACGCAGGCUUAGAAAACGGUCACAGCCCAAGAGGGUGUGAUGUAGACAGCCUACCCUGCCGAAAGUAUCUGAUUCCACGGCUAGAACCGGUAUAGGUCACACUGAGACAACUUUACCGUUGCUCCAAGUUUCUCAUUUGGAAAGGCAAACACACUGCACAAAGAAAAUCGGUUUGAUUCCAGAGGACAAAAUGUGACUGGAAUAUGGUAAACUUAGUUUCAGGCAUAUUCUAGUAGCAGACUGAAGAUAUUAUAAAUGCACUUCAUGUUCUUUGUUCAGGUAAUAGUAAAUUUAAAGAAGCAAAACCAUAUAAAAACCAUUAGAGAAGGUUCAGGAAAUGACUCAUUUACAAUUGAGAUGAAAGAUUGUGCCUCAACUCGCCGUAAUACUGCCUUGAAGGCAAAGCAACUGUAAUCGCGUACCAGAUCAACAAAAGAAAUGUUCAAGCUUCUGGAGAUGAAUGAUGAUGACAAAGCAAUUACUAUAAACUAAUAACAAUGAUCUACAAAUAAAGAAUAUGAAUUAGGAAACUGAAGUGAUUGACGUGUAAUGUUAAUUAAUGACAGAAGAAACAUAUAAUAGGUAAAUACUACUCCCUCCGUCCCAAUUAUAUGAAGGUGCUUACACCCAAGGGUGUGGCUAGUUGUCAAUGAACUGGGUUGAGAACCUACGAUCUCAGGUUCAAAUCCCAACAUAGACAAAAGAUACUCGAUGAUUCUUCUCAUCUGUCCUAGUCUUGAUGGAUAUAGUUACCUGAUAUCUGUUGCCGAUGGGAGAUAGUAGGUAUCCCGUGGAUUUAGUCGAAGUGUGUGACAGCUAAGUUGCUCGGACUCGGGUGCGGAUGUCCGAUACGGGUACGGAUCUAGAGGUUAGAUCCUUCACGGUCUCAAUUUAAAGAUUCGGUGAUAUGGAUUUAGGGAUAGAUACAGGUGCGGGGAUUCGGCAAAAAAUAAUUUAAAUAUCUGAGAAUAGAGUUACAAAACAUAAAAUAAGAGAUAAAAAAAAGGGCAGCCUGGUGCACUAAAGCUACCGCUAUUCGCGGUGUCCGAGGAAGGGCCCCACCACAAGGGUGUAUUGUACAUAGUCUUACCUUGCAUUUCUGCCAGAGAGUAUUUCCAAGGAUUGAACCCAUGACCUCCUGAUCACAUGGCAACAACUUUACCAGUUACUCCAAGGCUCCCCUUCAAAUGUUAUAUGAAAAACUUGAGAAGAAAAUAUUGUUCAAGAAGAAAAUCUUGGAAGGAGAUAAAAAGAAAAGCAAUAACAUAGAAAUUUCUAUAUAAAGGUAUUUCAUUUUCUUCAAUUUCACCUUAGCUUUUGUUUUGAUUAUAAAAUUUCUUAAAUCUGUCCGGACUUUUCUAGUCGAUUUCGGUCAAAGUACCCAAAAUCGAUUGACCAGAUCAGGUACGGAUCACACACUCACACCCUCACCCAUGUCGUGUCGACAUAAGUGCGGCACCGAAAGUGAAGAGUCCAAGUACCUUAGCGUGAAAGUUGGCCCGAACACCACGGUUAUCAAAAAAUAAUUAUAUGAAGGUGUUUGACUGGGCACGAGUUUAAAAGAAAAAGAAAAGACUUUUGAACUUGUGGUUAAAACAAGAUAGAGAAAUUUUUGUGGCUAUAAAUCAUUUCAUUAACGGUAAAAUGGGAGUUUGAAGUUGAAUCGUUAUUAGAUACAGAAAGAUGUCAUUCUUUUUUAAACUGAAAGUAAAGAUUGUCACAUAAAUUGGGACUGAGGAAGUAAGAAAAAUUAACUUCAACAACUUGCACCUUAACUCAAGAAACCAAAUAAUUGGAUUCCUGCACAUUUUAUAGGAUGCAAAGAGUCUUCACACAUUGGACUUGCACAAAGGCCUCUUCCAAAGAACUAUAUAUGAACUCUUCCCAAUUUUUCUUCCAGAUUUUUCGAUCUUUUCUCCCCAUAAUAUUGCUCAUUUUUUCUUGUCAAAAGUAAUAACAUUGCUCAUUUGCUAUAGAUAUUCUAUCGCUUGUAUUAUUUGCUAUUUUAUAGAUUUUUUUAUAGGAUCUAAGACCUCAUCCAACUUAUGAUUGGGGAGUUUUUUUUAUUAAGUAGAAGUGAAAUGUUUGGUAUCAGACAUUUGACUCUUGGACCCUUUUCACUUUUUCUAAAGCCCAAGUAAAGUUCUUCUCACUGGCAUAAUGGUAAGUAUGAUGUCUCAAAACUUGACAUUCAAUUAAAAAACUUCAAAUCAGGCCAAUUUAGAGCUUACCGCCAUCUUCGUUGUGGUUUAUAAUUGAAGAAGAGCGACUCUGCAAAUCAGCAUUAGCUUUAGUACAUCUGACUAUUGGAACACUAAAUUUUGAAAGUUCAGAUGCCGGCGUUUCAGCAACCUUGGAUGGGGUCAAAUCAAGACCUGAAGAAGAGAUAAUUUUUGUCAACACUUGUUUCCCUUUCUUCUUUUUUAUUGAAAUAGAAAGCCUACAAUUGAGCACAUAAUCCCUAACUACCGAGAAAUCCCAAGCCUUCAGCAAUCACACCAAACAACCAAAAGAAACAAUGGGAUAUAGAAGUUGGAGUGAAGGUUAAAUGAGUACAGUAUUGGCAAGAAACUCGGAAUAUUUCCAAUAUAGCCACCUAAGGGGGCGUUUGGUUGGACCAAGUUAUCCUGGGAUUAAUUAUCCCAUGCAUUUUAUCCCAACUAAACAUGGGAUACGUUCAUCCUAAAAUUAAUCCCGGGAUUAGUUAUGCCAUAUCCCUUGUACCAAACGGCCCCUCAAUGUACAAAGACCCGUUACAAUGAAAAAAGAACAGAAAUAAAUAAAAUUUCAGUGAAAAAUGUCCAGAAUGGUAGAAUUUCGGAUGAAUUUCUAAAUAUCCACCAAAAGACCCUACCAUAAGUUGUAUAAUUCAUAUUAAUUUCUAAAAUGAAACACCAUCUAUACUAAAAUGAUUAACACACUUGGACUAAAACUUAUGUAUUUCAGACUAAAAAUGGGCAGGCCCGUGCAUUAAAGCUCACAAUAUGUGCAGGUCCUGGAAAGGGCUGGACCACGGGAUCUAUUGUAUGCAUCAU
rnacentral:lncRNA from 1 species